rnacentral:rRNA from 1 species
UACGGGGGGAGCAAGCGUUGUUCGGAUUUAUUGGGCGUAAAGAGCUCGUAGGCGGCUUGUCGCGUCGAAUGUGAAAUCUCAGGGCUCAACUCUGACAUUGCAUUCGAUACGGGCAGGCUAGAGUUCGGUAGGGGAGACUGGAAUUCCUGGUGUAGCGGUGAAAUGCGCAGAUAUCAGGAGGAACACCGGUGGCGAAGGCGGGUCUCUGGGCCGAUACUGACGCUGAGGAGCGAAAGCGUGGGGAGCGAACAGG